rnacentral:lncRNA from 1 species
CUGACAUCUCUGCCAAUUUUCGUAAUUUUCUGACACUGUGCAUUUUCUGCUAAUUUUCUCAGUCCCGUUCCUUACAGAAAAUUCUAAAUUUUCCGUUUUCGCUCCGAUUUCACCCAAACACUUCUAAAAUACACCAAGGGACCUUCCCAAGCUACCAAUUUAAUUUGGAAGCAAUUUCUUUUCAUUUUGACAUUAUUUGAGCCGAAUUAGAAAUAGAAUCGGCUCCAAUUCCAUUACAUGACCUUUUUGCACUACCACUUCGCACUGAGCUCUUCAAAACCCUGUGAAAACACACCCUUGGCUUUACCAAAAAUUCACAAUUGAUUCGGAGGUACCACAAUUUAUCCUUACACCUUACUUUAAUUCUUUUAAUCAAAGUUAGCGUCGGAAUUUCGAAAAUUCUCUUUACUCUCUUUACAUUUCGUUUCGCGCCCAAUUCACUUAUUUCUCUUUGGAACUCAUUCCAACGCAUCACAAAUCCCUCGGGGAUGAUGUCCAACUAGCUCAAUC